AUCUAAUCUAAUAUUCCACAGGAUCCCCGCCGCCUCUUGCACUUCAGUCUAACGUUAGGACGGCCAAGCCUCACACCCAUUUAGUUGAAUCCCAACGGCCAUUAGUCUCUUCUAAGCAGUUUCCUCAACCGGAAGUGCCUGCAUCGGAACUUCCAGGUGAACCGGAACCAAGGAAAUAUAUUGGAGGAAAUAUUCCGUCUCGCUCUUUCCGGUUACUUCAGACACUCACGGGAGAGGAUCCAAGCACGCCUGGAUAUCAAGGAACUGAUUUUUAGGCUCCAAGACAAGCUUCAUCAAGCCUGACUCAUGAGUUAGCAGUGGUUAGGUUCACCAGUACUGACUCGUGAAUCACCGAUGUGUAAGGUUCAUCAGGACUGACUCACGAUAUAUCAGUGCGUGUAAGGUUCAUCAGUACUGACUCCUGAACCAGUAGUGUGUUAGGUUCAUCAGUACUGACUCAUGAACCAGUAUGUGUUAUAUUUAUCAGAGCUGACUCAUGAACCAGCAGUGUGUUAGGUUCAUCAGUACUGACUCAUGAACCAGUAGUGUGUUAGGUUCAUCAGUACUGACUCAUGAACCAGUUAUGUGUUAUAUUUAUCAGAGCUGACUCAUGAAGCAGCAGUGUGUUAGGUUCAUCAGUACUAACUCAUGAACCAGUAGUGUUUUGAUUCAUCAAGAUAUAAUUCUUUACAAACCAGAAAUAAAUCUAAAAUGUUUUGAUCUCGUCGAUAGUUUUCAAUAAAAAGGUGAAAGUGAAACAUUAUUCAUGCCAGAGUAUAAAUAUUUUAGUUGUGCGGUUUAAUUAAUGAAGAAUAGAGGAUUAAAUUUUCCAAAACUCUUUCAAUUUGACGUUUCCUGCAACUACAAAGUAUUUACAGUUAACAAACUAAUCAGUAUUGCGUCAAAAUUUGAUUAACCCUAAUUUAUAGAACAUUCUAAUUAUUCGAAGGUUUAGUUUUAUGACAUGUACUCCUAGUCAGACGCUAUAUUAUAUUAUCUUCAUUAUCUCCUGUGUUAAAGUUUAGUUCUGGGAGAUCAAUGGAUCAACAAUGUAUUGAAAGUAAAAAAAAAUAAUUCUAUAUAUGAUAUACAUACGUCACAUUAUAUUGUUGUUAUCUACUACAGUUAACCGGAGUCUAAAACAUCUCAAGUUCCAUUAUAAAACCAGCGAUAUGAAUACAUAAUGUUUGUUGCUGCUCGUAUAAAGCUCAAAGUCCUCGUAAGGAUUAUCAAAAUAUUCUUUUUAAAUUUAUAUAUAUAUAUAUAGAGAGAGUGAAGUAAUUUGGUGUAAUAAUUUUAUUUACAACACCUUUUACUAUUAUUAACUUUAGUA